rnacentral:rRNA from 1 species
CGCGUGUGUGAAGAAGGCUUCGGGUUGUAAAGCUCUUUCAGCAGGAACGAAACGGUGGAGGCUAAUACCUUUCAUCAAUGACGGUACCUGAAGAAGAAGCACCGGCUAACUACGUGCCAGCAGCCGCGGUAAUACGUAGGGUGCGAGCGUUAAUCGGAAUUACUGGGCGUAAAGCGUGCGCAGGCGGUUUUGUAAGACAGAUGUGAAAUCCCCGGGCUUAACCUGGGAACUGCGUUUGUGACUGCAAGACUCGAGUGCGGCAGAGGGGGGUGGAAUUCCACGUGUAGCAGUGAAAUGCGUAGAGAUGUGGAGGAACACCGAUGGCGAAGCAGCCCCCUGGGUCGACACUGACGCUCAUGCACGAAAGCGUGGGUAGCAAACAGGGAUUAGAUACCCUGGUAGUCCACGCCCUAACGAUGCCACUAGUGUUGGGGAAGGAGACUUCCUUA